UACGUAGGGUCCGAGCGUUAAUCGGAAUUACUGGGCGUAAAGCGUGCGCAGGCGGUUUUGUAAGCCAGAUGUGAAAUCCCCGGGCUCAACCUGGGAAUGGCCGUUGAAACUGGCGAACUGGAGUGUGGCAGAGGGGGGUGGAAUUCCGCGUGUAGCAGUGAAAUGCGUAGAUAUGCGGAGGAACACCGAUGGCGAAGGCGGUCUCCUGGAGCAGACUUGACGCUGAGGCGCGAAAGCUGGGGGAGCGAACGGG
rnacentral:rRNA from 1 species